GGGGAUGUACCGGUUUCGACGGGGGUGUGGAGGCAGGAAUAGCGGGCGGAUGCGCCUAUCAUCCGAAAAAUGGGCAUCUAUAAAUUAAAGAACAACGAUUCUUACGAAUUAGUAGCCGCUUAAGGCUGCUCGUCCUCCCCGGGAGCGCUGCGGCCCGGGUGCGGGGCGUCACUUAGCAGCGUCCGUGAGUGCGCAAAGCUUUGAGCGCACCAUGCACAAUGAAGCUACCCGACCCCAAGGCGUGACGGCUUGCCUUAGGCGACGGGAAUCGGCAGCAAUGCCGCAAUAACCGUCUGCGCCCGGAGAAGUUCCUGUUAAAGCGCUUUCGGACGCGGGUUCAACUCCCGCCAUCUCCACCA
rnacentral:sRNA from 1 species